AUCCCAUUCGGAUUGCAGGCUGCAACCCGCCUGUAUGAAGUUGGAAUCGCUAGUAAUCGCGGAUCAGCAUGCCGCGGUGAAUACGUUCCCGGGCCUUGUACACACCGCCCGUCACACCAUGAGAGUCGGGAACACCCGAAGUCCGUAGCCUAACCGCAAGGAGGGCGCGGCCGAAGGUGGGUUCGAUAAUUGGGGUGAAGUCGUAACAAGGUAUC
rnacentral:rRNA from 1 species